ensembl:snoRNA small nucleolar RNA Z40
UGGUGUUAUGAUGAUUGGCUAAAUAUGUUCAACUGCUCUGAAGUCUGAAUGAAACUUGCCUUUCUGAACCA